CGCAUUACCACGGGGUCAGAGGUCACGGCUCCGGCCUCCGCUUUCCCGCUCUGCUGACGGACGGAGACACGACCUGCGGCGGGGCGGGAGGGCGAGACGCAGCUUUCCCUUCGGCGACCGGGUUAUCUUCAGAAGCUGGUGCAGGUGGCAUGUGGAAGAUGAACAGGACAGAUACUCAACCCUGCCUAGUUUGGGGAUGAGUCACUGUUUUCAAACUGCAGUUAUGAGCAAAGAGCAUAUUUAAGAACUAAGUUAACAGGCCACCAGCAGAGACCCAGGGAUUCCCAAAGGGACACAUCUAUCCCAUGAACUGCACUGCGAGAUAAUAUAUUAUCACUGGCUCUGCACAUCAGCAGGCCUGGGUUUGAAUUUCUGCAGUCUCUCCAGCUCUGUGGCCUUGGGCAAGUUACCAAACCUCUCACUGACUCAAUGCCGUUAUUUGGACAGCAGGGUACGUAGCAAAUUCAAAGAAUGGGGCUGGGAUUAAAUUAAAUCUUUGUAAAAAGUGCCUAUCACAUAGUAGAUACUCACUAAAUAAAUACCGGCCCUCUUUGCCUCUCAGAGGUUUUAGUGUCUAAAGUGUAAGAAGUACGGGUGCUGCGGUGGCUCAGGCCUGUUGUCUUGGCACUUAAGGAGGCGAGACUACCUGUUCAAGGCCAGUCUGGGCAACAUAAAAAGCUCUCAAUCAUUCAAACAAACAAACAAAAAACACUGAAGUGUAAAAAGUUCCUCAUUGUUUAUAUUUUGAGUGAACCAAGCUUUGAAACAGGGUUUACCCCUGUAACAAAUAUUCUCUCUCAAUAAUACUGUCCCCAUUUCCUACUGACGCUGAGGUGCAGAGAGGUCCAGAUGAUUAAAUGAGAUUCCAUUUGCUAAGUAGAACUUCCAGCACAGCAGACGAUCAGUACAUGUGUAGCUCUCCUUGUCCGUCCCACAUUUAAUUUCUUUGUGUGACUUUGAUUUAGUGAUUGUGUUCAUGCUAGCAUCUUUGGGUUCAUCAUCAUAUCCCCAAUGUCUGGCACAUGGUAGGCCCUCAUUUAUUGUGAAUAAAUUACAAUCUGUUGAAUAAAUUACCCGAUCUCAAUAAUUAUUGGAGAAACCCUCUGAACACUGACUUCCCAUUGAAUGAGCCCUAAACAAUGUUUGGAGCCUGCUCAGGCAGAAUCGGGAAAGACUAAGACAGGAUUUCACCCACAUAUAUCUAUGCAAGUUAUAAAAGAUAUUCGUGGAUAGAGACUUCAUGACCUCAGCUGGGUGUGGUAGCAUGUGCCUACAGUCCCAGCUACUCAGGAGGCUAAGGCAGGAAGAUCAUUUGAGCCCAAGAGUUUGAGGCUGCAGUGAGCAGUUGCACCACUGCACUCCAGCCUGGGUAACAGAGCAAGACCAUGUAUAGAAGACUUCACGACCUCACCAUUUUCAUUAAGUCACAAAAUCCACCCAUAUGAUGGGUAGCCCUAACUCACUGCUCACCUUCCAUUCACCAUCAUUUAAAUCCUGCUGUUCAGUCUCACAGUAGGUAGGAAAACGUUUUUAAGUUACCAAAAUGUCUUUUUCAUUUAUUUGAGACAGGUUUUCUCUCUGUUGCUUAGACUGGAGUGCAAUGGUGCAAUCUCAGCUCACUGUAACCUUGACUUCCUGGGCUCAAGUACUCCUCCCAUCUCAGCCUCCGAAGUAACUGGGACUAUAGGUGCAUACCACCAUGCUUAGCUAAUUUUGUUUAUUUAUUGUGGAGAUGAGGUCUCACUGCAUUGCCCAGACUGUUUUUGAACCCUUGGGCUCAAGUAAUCCUCCCACCUUAGACUCUGAAUGUGGUGGGAUUACAGGCAUGAGCCACUGUGCCCGACACAAAAUGUCAAUAAUGGUUACCUCUGGAUUGUAAGAUUAUGGGCAACUUUUGAUUGUCUUUGUUUUUUCUUUUUUGAGACAAGAUCUCACUCUGUCGUCACCCAGGCUGGAGUGCAGUGGCAUGAUCAUGGCUCACUGUAGUCUUGACCUCCUGGGCUCAAGCCAUCCUCCCACCUCAGCCUUCCGAGUAGCUAGGAGCAGGUAGGGCCACAGACACAUGCCACCACCCCCAGCUAAUUUUUUUUUUUUUUUUUGUAGAGAUGGGGUCUCGCUAUGUUGCCCAGGAGGGUUUCGAAAUCCUAACCUCAAGUGAUCCUCCCGCCUUGGCCUCCCAAAGUCCUGGCAUUACAAUUGUGAGCCAUAGCCACAUUACUUUUUAUGUAUUUAUUUUGAGACAAAGUCUUCCUCUGUCACCCAGGCUGGAGUGCAGUGGCUCGAUCUUGACUCACUGCAACCUCCACCUCCCCAUUCAACUGAAAAAAUCUUGACCACCUCCUGUCACAACCAGCUCAACAGAGCUAUGAUCUGGCAACA